rnacentral:lncRNA from 1 species
GAGUCGCAGAAUUCCAUAUGUGAAGGUUCAGUGGAGCAACCAUGCGGUGCGAGAAGCCGCUUGGGAGCUCGAGGAGACCAUGCGGAGAGAGUAUCCGCACCUAUUUGAAUCGACAAGUUAAGGUAUGCGUAAUUUCGCGGACGAAAUUAUUUUAAGGGGUGGAGAAUGUAAUAUACCGAGAAUUCGGAAAAUAAAUGUCGAACUUCAGUCAAAUUGACCAAAGUAGGA